CCUGUGUGAAGAACUCAGACUGUGUGGUUGGGAAGAGGAGGGAAGGCUCCAAAUGCCAUUCUGUCAGUUCUCCCAGGAUUAACUGGCUUUGCUCCUGUGCUGGUGCAGCCACCCAUGCUCCAAGGUACACAAGAAGCUGGGAUGAGGAACAAGCAGGACAGCUGACCCAAACUGGCCAAAAGGAUAUUCAAUGCCAUAUGAUGGUAUGCUCAGUAUAUAUUUUUGGGGAAGAAGAAGGGUGUUUGGAGAAGGAAGAUGUUUGGAGUCAUGGUGUUUGUCUUCCCAAGUAACUGUUACACAUGAUGGAGCCUUGCUUUCCUGGAUAUGGCUGAACACCUGCCUACAAUGGGAAGCAGUAAAUUCCUUGUUUUGCUUUGUUUGCAUGUGUUGCUUUUGCUUUACUUAUUAAACUGUGUUUAUCUCAACCAA